rnacentral:rRNA from 1 species
UACGGAGGGGGCUAGCGUUGUUCGGAAUUACUGGGCGUAAAGCGCGCGCAGGCGGUCCUUCAAGUCAGAGGUGAAAGCCCAGGGCUCAACCCUGGAACUGCCUUUGAAACUGGAGGACUUGAGUACGGGAGAGGUGAGUGGAAUUCCUAGUGUAGAGGUGAAAUUCGUAGAUAUUAGGAAGAACACCAGUGGCGAAGGCGGCUCACUGGCCCGGUACUGACGCUGAGGCGCGAAAGCGUGGGGAGCAAACAGG